CCUACGGGAGGCUGCAGUGAGGAAUAUUGGUCAAUGGCCGGGAGGCUGAACCAGCCAAGUCGCGUGAGGGAAGACGGCCCUACGGGUUGUAAACCUCUUUUGUCAGGGAGCAAGGUGCAGGUCGGGACCUGCUGUGAGAGUACCUGAAGAAAAAGCAUCGGCUAACCCCGUGCCAGCAGCCGCGGAAAUACGGGGGAUGGGAGCGUUAUCCGGAUUGAUUGGGUUAAAGGGGUGCGCAGGCGGAGGCACAAGUCAGCGGUAAAAUCGCGGGGCUCAACCCCGCUCCGCCGUUGAAACUGUGUACCUUGAGUGCGCGAAGGGUAGGCGGAAUGCGUGGUGUAGGGGUGAAAUGCAUAGAUAUCACGCAGAACUCCGAUGGCGAAGGCAGCCUACCGGCGCGCAACUGACGCUCAUGCACGAAAGCGUGGGUAUCGAACAGGAUUAGAUACCCUGGUAGUC
rnacentral:rRNA from 1 species